UGCCACCACCAGUUGACCUAGAACACCAACUAUAAUGAGGCCCACAUGCUAAAAAAGCCUUCCUAGGGCUCUUUGUUUCACAAAACAGAUAAAGCUUUCUCAAACCCCAAAGGAGCUUUAAAGAUUCUGCUGUUUGCUUGGAUUAUCUAAUCCAGGUCUGAAGUGUCUGAGUGCUGAAGUUUUUAGAGCAGAAUAAAGACAGUUAAAGUGGAGAGAAAAGAGGUGGAACAGCCCUUUAGCUGAAGCAGAAGCUAGCUUUAGCUUAGCAUGUUGAUCUCCUCUAAUGAGUUUUCCAAUCAGCUGAGGCUCCAACCCUCAGUCUGCAUCCUGAGGGAAUCGUUUCUAUCAGGUGUUUCCUACCUAUCCGGUGUAAGAUGAUCUGGGGGAUCCUGGUGAAAUCCAGCAGUCUGUGCUGAUCGUCCAUCUCCACUUUGGGCCUUUUCUCUCUUCCUUUAACCUCCGUCAAUGUUUCUUCAGCAGGAGUUAACUGCUCGCUGAUAAACUCUCCUUGAAGCUGGACUGAACACAUUCUCCCUGCAAACACUCACACAUCAUCAGCCUCUCUACAAACACUCCACGGAGGAAGGAAGCUAACGCUGCUGCUGCGGGUGUGACAGAUCAACUGGUGACGGCAGCUGGAAAACCGCUGAUUUUUGCAGAUGUGUCUGUGGGCGGGGCUUUUCAGGACCCCUCGCCUCAAACAGGAAGUAAACUGCGUGUAGACUCCAAGAACUACAAAUUAUUUUGUUAGCUGAUCGAUACGACAAUACGUUGAGAUCAUAAGAAGUCACCAUCACAAAGAGCCUCUGCGAUGAGAGAAAGAACCGAGUAGAAAAACCACAGAAAGCUGUAUGAGAAGUAAAAACAGCCAGUGCAAUAAAAGAUCAAUGGGAACAA